GCCAGUGUGGUGUAGUGGUUUGCAUGUUGGACCAAGACACUGGAAGACCAAGGUUCAAAUCCUCACUUGGCC